rnacentral:rRNA from 1 species
CAAUCAAACCGGGAGAUAGCUGGUUCUCCCCGAAAGCUAUUUAGGUAGCGCCUCGUGAAUUCAUCUCCGGGGGUAGAGCACUGUUUCGGCUAGGGGGCCAUCCCGGCUUACCAACCCGAUGCAAACUGCGAAUACCGGAGAAUGUUAUCACGGGAGACACACGGCGGGUGCUAACGUCCGUCGUGAAGAGGGAAACAACCCAGACCGCCAGCUAAGGUCCCAAAGUCAUGGUUAAGUGGGAAACGAUGUGGGAAGGCCCAGACAGCCAGGAUGUUGGCUUAGAAGCAGCCAUCAUUUAAAGAAAGCGUAAUAGCUCACUGGUCGAGUCGGCCUGCGCGGAAGAUGUAACGGGGCUAAACCAUGCACCGAAGCUGCGGCAGCGAACGUAUCACCCAAGACAACUUUACGGAGUUGACGAUUGACGGAGCGAAGCGACGUCAAAGCGUUCAUUAAAGUCGAGUUGGCUUAGGGAUACGUUCGUUGGGUAGGGGAGCGUUCUGUAAGCCUGUGAAGGUGUGUCGUGAGGCAUGCUGGAGGUAUCA